rnacentral:rRNA from 1 species
GACGUAGGGCGCGAGCGUUGUCCGGAUUUAUUGGGCGUAAAGAGCUCGUAGGCGGCUUGUCGCGUCGGCUGUGAAAACCCGCGGCUCAACUGUGGGCGGGCAGCUGAUACGGGCAGGCUGGAGUUCGGUAGGGGAGACUGGAAUUCCUGGUGUAGCGGUGAAAUGCGCAGAUAUCAGGAGGAACACCGGUGGCGAAGGCGGGUCUCUGGGGCCGAUAUUGACGCUGAGGAGCGAAAAGCGUGGGGGAGCGAACAGG